GCCGGUAUAGCUCAGUUGGUAGAGCAGCUGAUUUGUAAUCAGCAGGUCAUCGGUUCAAGCCCAAUAGCCGGCUCCA
rnacentral:tRNA from 1 species